rnacentral:rRNA from 1 species
UACGUAGGGGGCAAGCGUUGUCCGGAAUCAUUGGGCGUAAAGAGCGUGUAGGCGGCUCGGUAAGUCCGCUGUGAAAGUCCAGGGCUCAACCCUGGAAUGCCGGUGGAAACUGUCGAGCUAGAGUCCGGAAGAGGCGAGUGGAAUUCCUGGUGUAGCGGUGAAAUGCGCAGAUAUCAGGAGGAACACCAGCGGCGAAGGCGGCGCUCUGGGCCGGUACUGACACUGAGGAGCGAAAGCGUGGGUAGCAAACAGG